UGGGGAAUAUUGGACAAUGGGCGCAAGCCUGAUCCAGCCAUGCCGCGUGAGUGAUGAAGGCCCUAGGGUUUUAAAGCUCUUUCACCGGUGAAGAUAAUGACGGUAACCGGAGAAGAAGCCCCGGCUAACUUCGUGCCAGCAGCCGCGGUAAUACGAAGGGGGCUAGCGUUGUUCGGAUUUACUGGGCGUAAAGCGCACGUAGGCGGACUAUUAAGUCAGGGGUGAAAUCCCGGGGCUCAACCCCGGAACUGCCUUUGAUACUGGUAGUCUUGAGUUCGAGAGAGGUGGGUGGAAUUCCGAGUGUAGAGGUGAAAUUCGUAGAUAUUCGGAGGAACACCAGUGGAGAAGGCGGCUCACUGGCUCGAUACUGACGCUGAGGUGCGAAAGCGUGGGGAGCAAACAGG
rnacentral:rRNA from 1 species